rnacentral:rRNA from 1 species
UACGGAGGGAGCUAGCGUUGUUCGGAAUUACUGGGCGUAAAGCGCGCGUAGGCGGCUUUGUAAGUUAGAGGUGAAAGCCCGGGGCUCAACCCCGGAACUGCCUUUAAGACUGCAUCGCUUGAAUCCAGGAGAGGUGAGUGGAAUUCCGAGUGUAGAGGUGAAAUUCGUAGAUAUUCGCAAGAACACCAGUGGCGAAGGCGGCUCACUGGCCCGGUACUGACGCUGAGAUGCGAAAGUGUGGGGAGCGAACAGG